rnacentral:rRNA from 1 species
GACGAACCGAGCGAUCGUUGUUCGGAAUCACUGGGCUUAAAGGGUGCGUAGGCGGGCUGCCAAGUUUGAGGUGAAAUCCUCCGGCUCAACCGGGGAAGUGCCUUGAAUACUGGCGGUCUGGAGGGAGGUAGGGGCGUGCGGAACUAACGGUGGAGCGGUGAAAUGCGUUGAUAUCGUUAGGAACUCCGGUGGCGAAGGCGGCACGCUAGACCUCUUCUGACGCUGAGGCACGAAAGCCAGGGGAGCGAACGGG